rnacentral:rRNA from 1 species
GAUGAACGCUGGCGGCGUGCCUAAUACAUGCAAGUCGAGCGAACAGAUAAGGAGCUUGCUCCUUUGACGUUAGCGGCGGACGGGUGAGUAACACGUGGAUAACCUACCUAUAAGACUGGGAUAACUUCGGGAAACCGGAGCUAAUACCGGAUAACAUAUUGAACCGCAUGGUUCAAUAGUGAAAGGCGGCUUUGCUGCCACUUAUAGAUGGAUCCGCGCCGUAUUAGCUAGUUGGUAAGGUAACGGCUUACCAAGGCAACGAUCCGUAGCCGACCUGAGAGGGUGAUCGGCCACACUGGAACUGAGACACGGUCCAGACUCCUACGGGAGGCAGCAGUAGGGAAUCUUCCGCAAUGGGCGAAAGCCUGACGGAGCAACGCCGCGUGAGUGAUGAAGGUCUUCGGAUCGUAAAACUCUGUUAUCAGGGAAGAACAAAUGUGUAAGUAACUGUGCACAUCUUGACGGUACCUGAUCAGAAAGCCACGGCUAACUACGUG